GCCCCUUCAAAAUCCUUGGUCUGCACUGGUGGAAAUGGCAAAGCACUGCUUUGGGACAUAAGGAGAAACCAGGAGACACUGAAACCAGAACCAUUAGCUGAGUUGGAUGGACAUACAGGUCCAGUCACACAGUUGCACAUGGAUCCAUAUAAAAUAGUCACAGGAGGACCAGAGGAUUUAUACAUAAAUGUUUGGGAGGCUGAAACUGGUAUGCAAACAAAUUCCUUCAUUUGCU
rnacentral:misc_RNA from 1 species